rnacentral:rRNA from 1 species
AGGGUUUGAUCAUGGCUCAGAUUGAACGCUGGCGGCAGGCCUAACACAUGCAAGUCGAGCGGUAGCACAGGGGAGCUUGCUCCCCGGGUGACGAGCGGCGGACGGGUGAGUAAUGUCUGGGAAACUGCCUGAUGGAGGGGGAUAACUACUGGAAACGGUAGCUAAUACCGCAUAACGUCGCAAGACCAAAGAGGGGGACCUUCGGGCCUCUUGCCAUCAGAUGUGCCCAGAUGGGAUUAGCUAGUAGGUGGGGUAAUGGCUCACCUAGGCGACGAUCCCUAGCUGGUCUGAGAGGAUGACCAGCCACACUGGAACUGAGACACGGUCCAGACUCCUACGGGAGGCAGCAGUAGGGAAUCUUCGGCAAUGGGGGGAACCCUGACCGAGCAACGCCGCGUGAGUGAAGAAGGUUUUCGGAUCGUAAAGCCCUGUUGUAAGAGAAGAACGUGUGUGAGAGUGGAAAGUUCACACAGUGACGGUAACUUACCAGAAAGGGACGGCUAACUACGUGCCAGCCGCCGCGGUAAUAC